rnacentral:pre_miRNA from 1 species
CCCCCUCGCCGCGUUGAUCAUGGAGAAGGUCGGGUCCCAAGGCGAUCCAGAGCCGACCUUCUCCAUGAUCAACGCGGCGAGGGGG